AGGAAACAGAGGCUCAGAGAAGUCAUACAGUGUCUCAAGGUCACACAACUGGUGUGAACUCUUCAGCGCUACAGAUUGUGUCUCACUUCCUCAGCAUCCCUACAGAGACCAGCCUAUGGCUGAACACAGAGUGAAAGCCCUGAGGUGGCUUCUCACUGCUUCCUCAUCCAGGCUCCAGUGUGUCCUGCCCCUCCAUUCUGAAGCACAGCAAUUUGAAGGCUCCAUUAGAACAGGCCAUACCUUAAGCCCCUGUGGGGCUCACUCUCAGGCCCAGUGAGGAAUGCUCUCCCACUGUACUGUAGAAAAAAGGAAGAGAAACAAUUUCAAGAAGACCAAA